rnacentral:lncRNA from 1 species
GGUAAGGAUAUAAAUGGGAAAUUGCUUCAAUGGAUUGCGUAUAGGCUUUUGUAUAUGGGUAUCCGUUAGGGAAUAGUUAAUAUAUCUGUGAGGAGAAUGGUUCAGUUGUUUAGACAUGCAUGAGGUAUGCAAUAUGUUAUGUAUGUAGUGUAUGAUGGAUCUUUCUUUUUUUCUAUAUCUUUCUCUUUCUUUCCUUUUUUUCUUUUUCUUUAUUUUCUUUUUCUUUUCUUUUUUUUCCUUCUUUAUUCUUUAUUCAUUUUUUUCCUUUCGCGAGUAAUCUUUAGAUAGUAACACCCGUUCUUGCAAAGAACAAUCAAAAUGGUUCAUGUUGAGUACAAC